CAGGAUGAACGCUAGCGACAGGCCUAACACAUGCAAGUCAGGGGCAGCACAAGGAGCAAUCUGAGGUGGCGACCGGCGCACGGGUGAGUAACACGUAUGCAACCUGCCUGUAAGCGGGGAAUAACCCGUUGAAAGACGGACUAAUACCGCAUAAUACUAAAUUACUGCAUGGUAAUUUAUUUAAACAUUUAUGGCUUACAGAUGGGCAUGCGCAUGAUUAGCUAGUUGGAGAGGUAACGGCUCCCCAAGGCAACGAUCAUUAGGGGUUCUGAGAGGAAGGUCCCCCCACACUGGUACUGAGACACGGACCAGACUCCUACGGGAGGCAGCAGUGAGGAAUAUUGGUCAAUGGACGAGAGUCUGAACCAGCCAAGUCGCGUGCAGGAAGAAUGUCCUAUGGAUUGUAAACUGCUUUUGCAGGGGAAUAAAGUGCAUCACGUGUGAUGUUUUGUAUGUACUCUGCGAAUAAGGAUCGGCUAACUCCGUGCCAGCCGCCGC
rnacentral:rRNA from 1 species